rnacentral:rRNA from 2 species
UGCAGAAUCCCGUGAACCAUCGAGUCUUUGAACGCAAGUUGCGCCCCAAGCCUUCUGGCCGAGGGCACGUCUGCCUGGGUGUCACGAAUCGUCGUCCCUCACAUCCUUCGGAUAAUGGGACGUAAGCUGGUCUCCCGUGUGUUACCGCACGCGGCUGGCCAAAAUCCGAGCUAAGGACGCCGAGAGCGUUACGACAUGCGGUGGAGAACAAAAGCCUCUUCGUAUCGUUGGUCGCUCUUGUCUUGAAGCUCUCGAUGACCCAAAUCCUCAAAGCGACCCCAGGUCAGGCGGGAUCACCCGCUGAGUUUAAGCAUAUCAAUAAGCGGAGGAGAAGAAACUAACAAGGAUUCCCUUAGUAACGGCGAGCGAACCGGGAAGAGCCCAGCUUGAAAAUCGGAUGUUUUUGACAUUCGA